GACGAACGCUGGCGGCGUGCUUAACACAUGCAAGUCGAACGGUGAUGGCCAGCUUGCUGGUCUGAUCAGUGGCGAACGGGUGAGUAACACGUGAGCAACCUGCCCUUCACUCUGGGAUAACCACGGGAAACGGUGGCUAAUACCGGAUAUGAGACGUACACGCAUGUGUCGCGUCUGGAAAGAUUUAUCGGUGAAGGAUGGGCUCGCGGCCUAUCAGCUUGUUGGUGGGGUAGUGGCCCACCAAGGCGACGACGGGUAGCCGGCCUGAGAGGGCGACCGGCCACACUGGGACUGAGACACGGCCCAGACUCCUACGGGAGGCAGCAGUGGGGAAUAUUGCACAAUGGGCGCAAGCCUGAUGCAGCGACGCCGCGUGAGGGAUGACGGCCUUCGGGUUGUAAACCUCUUUCAGCAGGGAAGAAGCGAAAGUGACGGUACCUGCAGAAGAAGCGCCGGCUAACUACGUGCCAGCAGCCGCGGUAAUACGUAGGGCGCAAGCGUUGUCCGGAAUUAUUGGGCGUAAAGAGCUCGUAGGCGGUUUGUCGCGUCUGCUGUGAAAACCUAAGGCUCAACCUUGGGCUUGCAGUGGGUACGGGCAGACUAGAGUGCGGUAGGGGUGACUGGAAUUCCUGGUGUAGCGGUGGAAUGCGCAGAUAUCAGGAGGAACACCGAUGGCGAAGGCAGGUCACUGGGCCGCAACUGACGCUGAGGAGCGAAAGCAUGGGGAGCGAACAGGAUUAGAUACCCUGGUAGUCCAUGCCGUAAACGUUGGGCACCAGGUGUGGGGCUCAUUCCACGAGUUCCGUGCCGCAGCAAACGCAUUAAGUGCCCCGCCUGGGGAGUACGGCCGCAAGGCUAAAACUCAAAGAAAUUGACGGGGGCCCGCACAAGCGGCGGAGCAUGCGGAUUAAUUCGAUGCAACGCGAAGAACCUUACCAAGGCUUGACAUACACCGGAAAAGUGCAGAGAUGUGCUCCCCGUAAGGUCGGUGUACAGGUGGUGCAUGGUUGUCGUCAGCUCGUGUCGUGAGAUGUUGGGUUAAGUCCCGCAACGAGCGCAACCCUCGUCCCAUGUUGCCAGCGGGUUAUGCCGGGGACUCAUGGGAGACUGCCGGGGUCAACUCGGAGGAAGGUGGGGAUGACGUCAAAUCAUCAUGCCCCUUAUGUCUUAGGCUUCACGCAUGCUACAAUGGCCGGUACAAAGGGCUGCGAUACCGCGAGGUGGAGCGAAUCCCAAAAAGCCGGUCUCAGUUCGGAUUGGGGUCUGCAACUCGACCCCAUGAAGUCGGAGUCGCUAGUAAUCGCAGAUCAGCAACGCUGCGGUGAAUACGUUCCUGGGCCU
rnacentral:rRNA from 1 species